UCCUUUAAGUAAGCCGGCGAGUGAAGCGGCAAAAGCUCAAAUUUGAAAUCUGGCACCUUCGGUGUCCGAGUUGUAAUUUGAAGAUUGUAACCUUGGGGUUGGCUCUUGUCUAUGUUUCUUGGAACAGGACGUCACAGAGGGUGAGAAUCCCGUGCGAUGAGAUGCCCAAUCCUAUGUAAGGUGCUUUCGAAGAGUCGAGUUGUUUGGGAAUGCAGCUCUAAGUGGGUGGUAAAUUCCAUCUAAAGCUAAAUAUUGGCGAGAGACCGAUAGCGAACAAGUACAGUGAUGGAAAGAUGAAAAGAACUUUGAAAAGAGAGUGAAAAAGUACGUGAAAUUGUUGAAAGGGAAGGGUUUGAGAUCAGACUCGAUAUUUUGUGAGCCUUGCCUUCGUGGCGGGGUGACCCGCAGCUUAUCGGGCCAGCAUCGGUUUGGGCGGUAGGAUAAUGGCGUAGGAAUGUGACUUUGCUUCGGUGAAGUGUUAUAGCCUGCGUUGAUGCUGCCUGCCUAGACCGAGGACUGCGAUUUUAUCAAGGAUGCUGGCAUAAUGAUCCCAAACCGCCCGUCUUGAACCACGGAAACAA
rnacentral:rRNA from 1 species